UACGGAGGGUGCAAGCAUUAAUCGGAUUUAUUGGGCGUAAAGGGCGUGUAGGCGGGUUAGUAAGUCGAAUGUGAAAUUCCAGAGCUCAACUUUGGAACUGCAUUUGAAACUGCUAGUCUGGAGGAUUGGCGGAGAAAACGGAAUUCCACAUGUAGCGGUGAAAUGCGUAGAUAUGUGGAAGAACACCUGUGGCGAAAGCGGUUUUCUAGCUUAUUCCUGACGCUGAGGCGCGAGAGCAAGGGGAGCAAACAGG
rnacentral:rRNA from 1 species